ACGACUCUCGGCAACGGAUAUCUCGGCUCUUGCAUCGAUGAAGAACGUAGCGAAAUGCGAUACUUGGUGUGAAUUGCAGAAUCCCGUGAACCAUCGAGUCUUUGAACGCAAGUUGCGCCCGAAGCCAUUAGGCUGAGGGCACGCCUGCCUGGGUGUUGCACAU
rnacentral:rRNA from 1 species